rnacentral:rRNA from 1 species
UAGUUGGUGAGGUAACGGCUCACCAAGGCAAUGAUCUUUAGGGGGCCUGAGAGGGUGAUCCCCCACACUGGUACUGAGACACGGACCAGACUCCUACGGGAGGCAGCAGUGAGGAAUAUUGGUCAAUGGGUGCAAGCCUGAACCAGCCAUCCCGCGUGAAGGACGACUGCCCUAUGGGUUGUAAACUUCUUUUGUAUAGGGAUAAACCUUUCCACGUGUGGAAAGCUGAAGGUACUAUACGAAUAAGCACCGGCUAACUCCGUGCCAGCAGCCGCGGUAAUACGGAGGGUGCAAGCGUUAUCCGGAUUUAUUGGGUUUAAAGGGUCCGUAGGCGGACUUAUAAGUCAGUGGUGAAAGCCUGUCGCUUAACGAUAGAACUGCCAUUGAUACUGUAAGUCUUGAGUAUAUUUGAGGUAGCUGGAAUAAGUAGUG